rnacentral:rRNA from 1 species
GACGAACGCUGGCGGCGUGCUUAACACAUGCAAGUCGAACGAAGAGCGAUGGAAGCUUGCUUCUAUCAAUCUUAGUGGCGAACGGGUGAGUAACGCGUAAUCAACCUGCCCUUCAGAGGGGGACAACAGUCGGAAACGACUGCUAAUACCGCAUACGAUCUAAUCUCGGCAUCGAGGAUAGAUGAAAGGUGGCCUCUACAUGUAAGCUAUCACUGAAGGAGGGGAUUGCGUCUGAUUAGCUAGUUGGAGGGGUAACGGCCCACCAAGGCGAUGAUCAGUAGCCGGUCUGAGAGGAUGAACGGCCACAUUGGGACUGAGACACGGCCCAGACUCCUACGGGAGGCAGCAGUGGGGAAUCUUCCGCAAUGGACGAAAGUCUGACGGAGCAACGCCGCGUGAGUGAUGACGGCCUUCGGGUUGUAAAGCUCUGUUAAUCGGGACGAAAGGCCUUCUUGCGAAUAGUGAGAAGGAUUGACGGUACCGGAAUAGAAAGCCACGGCUAACUACGUG